AUGAGAUUAGAAAACAGCUGGAGAAUUGAUGAAGUGGGGAGGAGAGGAGGAUUGCUCCAGAUGGCCAUGUUGCCGCAGACGCUGCUUUCCACCCCAGAAACGCUGUGUUGGGACCUGCAUGGAGGUCACACACACACAUUUCUGAAAAUUGUGUGCAAAGACAUGGGGAACUUCCAGAUGGGAGUUGUGAGCUCUUAUGGUCACUACAAACCAGCACAGAUCCCUCUAGACUUUCUGAUAAAACAUCCACUCUCCAGUGGUUUCUCUGGAAGGCAAGUCCCAGCAAAGGCAUUUCAGGUCAGAACAAAACCCCUGGUAACUGCCUGCGAACAAAACACUGCCGCGUGCAGCAAAGCGUUGCAGCACGGCUCACCCGGGGGUUGCCCUGCUGGGUGCAAAGCGGACAGGAAAGAGAGGGUGCAGGGUCAAGGAGUUGCAAAGCCGCAGAUGGCGCAGGCGAGCCGGGCAGCAGCAUGGGGUUCGCCGCUGGGCACGCUUUCCCAUGCCUGGACAAGCCACUCCAUCUUUGAAUGUCUCUGUAUUUCAGAGGUGACAGCUGACAUGGGUACAGACAGCCAGAGAUGUCAGGUGGACCUGGGACAUGGCCCUGAGCUGGAAAGGGUGGGAUUUGUCUUGUGCCCAAAUACAGACCUGCCUCGUCAUCUAGAGGCAAGAGCAGCAGUGCAGGGACCUGGGAGGGGGCUGCAGAAGGACAACAAUCUGGUUGAUGGCCAGAAAGCCAAAAAUUUACAAAACAAAAUAAAACAAAGGACAAGCAGGAUAGGGAAGAGAAGCAGAAAGGAAGGAGGUGACCAGGAUUUGUGGAGAGUGGGUGACAACACGGCCGACAGACCCGAGAGCAAGAGGAACAUCCCCUGGCGAGCGCUUAUGGGGCCAAAAUGCCCGGGAUGGCCGCGGUCACCGUGCAGCACGUUUGGGAGCCUCCGCGCGCUCUGUCCCACUGCACAUCCACACCCACCUCCUACACCCACUUCAAAGUUAAAAUCUGUGCUGUAUCCUGGCAUUUUGCAGAUUACGACAUUUCAGCAGCCUGCUGCAGCUCAGCUGUAUGUCUGCUCCUGGGUGAGGAAUUUCUCUUUAUACCAACUGUCUAUUCAAGUCAUAAAAAUAGGCUUUUUUUCCUUCUGUAAGUGCAACACUUUUCAUAUUUUUACUUCCUGCUGUCUAGAUAGUAUUUCACUUUUUUCAUUUCUAGUGCUCACUCUCAGUUAUUUAAUGUGA
rnacentral:lncRNA from 1 species